rnacentral:rRNA from 1 species
GGAAAAGACUACGAGGAUUCCCUCAGUAACGGCGAGUGAAGCGGGAAGAGUUCAAACCUAGAAUCGCCUCGCGGCGAGUUGUGGGGUGUAAACGCGUGUCUCAGCGGCUGUGCCGAUGGAAGUCGAUUGGAAAAUCGCAUCAGAGAGGGUGAAAAUCCCGUUCGACAUUGGACUGGCAGUCGCGUUCGAGCCGUUGUUUUCGAGUCGGGUUGCUUGGGAGUGCAGCCCUAAGUGGGUGGUAAAUUCCAUCUAAAACUAAAUAUGUGUGGGAGACCGAUAGCGAACAAGUACCGUGAGGGAAAGAUGAAAAGAACUUUGAAAAGAGAGUUAAAAGUACUUGAAAUUGUUUGGAUUGAAGGGAUGACGCCCAGUCGGUCAGGAUGGCUUGGUGGCGGGUUUGUUGCUCGCGGGGGUAGGUAGCUCCUCCUGGAGUGUUUUAGCCCCGCGUGCAAAGCCUGCCGGUGAGCGAGGUCGCGGAUAGAUCCUGACAAAAUGGUCGUCAUUCACCCGUCUUGAAACACGGACCAAGGAGUCUUACAUGUGUGCGGGUGUUAGUGUGACGAAGCAUUAUCGCGUAAUGAAAGUGAAAUUUGUUCAAACGAGGGCGACUAC